GAAGAAGGAGCAGAAGAAGAAGAAGCAGCAGAAGAAGAAGAAGAAGAAGAAGUUGUUGUUGUUGUUGUUGUUGUGUGUUUGUGCUGCUAGCUUGACUUUGGAGCAACGUUAAGAGGCAGUUUGAGGCUUUAAUGGACUUAAACCGACGAGGGAUUUCUUGUUUUCACGGUUAAAUACGGCUGGAUGGCUUUCUGCUGGCUGUGGCUCCACGUCCUCCUCUUCACCUGCUCCUCCGCUCACAAUGACUUCUUCACCUCCAUCGGUCACAUGACCGACCUGCUGUUCACAGAGAAGGAUCUCGUGGCCUCCCUGAAGGAAUACAUCCGAGCUGAGGAGAGCAAACUGGAGCAGAUUAAAAAGUGGGCGCACAGACUGGACGUCCUCUCUGCGGCGGCGGCUCAGGACCCCGAGGGUUUCCUGGGUCACCCGGUGAACGCCUUCAAGCUGAUGAAGAGGCUGAACACAGAGUGGGGGGGGCUGGAGAGCCUGGUGCUCACCGACACGUCUGAAGUGUUCAUCUCAAACCUCACUGUCCAGAGGCAGCACUUCCCCAACGAUGACGACCAGACGGGCGCCGCCAAAGCUCUGAUGAGGCUGCUGGAUACGUACCAGCUGGACACCAAUACCAUCGCCUCCGGACAGCUGCCGGGCUCGUCCCCGGCCGCCUCACAGCGCAGCACUCUGACUGUGGACGACUGCUACGACCUCGGGAAGGUGGCGUACUCGGACGCGGACUACUACCACACGGAGCUGUGGAUGGUCCAGGCCCUGAAGCAGCUGGACGAGGGGGAGUCGUCCGGCACCGUGGACGCCGUCGCCAUCCUGGACUACCUGAGCUACUCCGUGUACCAGCAGGGGGCGCUUGACAGAGCGCUGGACUUCACCCGGAGGCUGCUGGAGCUCGACCCGACACACCAGCGAGCCGGCGGGAACCUGAAGUACUUUGAGUAUCAGCUGAUCAAACAGAAGAAGAUGGAGGAGGGCGAGGCGGGGCAGAGGACGGAGACGCGGGGUCGACCCGCUGACUACCUGCCAGAGAGGAAGAAGUACGAGCAGCUGUGUCGCGGCGAGGGCGUCCGGAUGACUCCUCGCAGGCAGAGCCGCCUCUUCUGCCGUUACUACGACAACAACCGCCACCCGAAGUACGUGAUCAGCCCGGUGAAGCAGGAGGACGAGUGGGAUCGCCCGCGCAUCGUCCGAUACCACGACAUCGUGUCGGAGGCGGAGAUAGAGAAGGUGAAGGAGCUCGCCAAACCCCGGCUGCGUCGAGCCACCAUCUCCAACCCGGUAACCGGCGUGCUGGAGACGGCCCACUACCGCAUCAGUAAGAGUGCGUGGCUGGGAGCGUUGGAACACCCGGUGGUCGACCAGAUCAACCAGAGGAUCGAGGACAUCACCGGCUUGGAUGUCACCACCGCAGAGGAGCUGCAGGUUUCUAACUACGGCGUCGGAGGACAGUACGAGCCUCACUUCGACUUCGGACGAAAAGAUGAACCGGAUGCUUUUGAAGAAUUGGGGACAGGAAACAGAAUCGCCACCUGGCUGCUUUACAUGAGCGAUGUGCAGGCAGGGGGCGCCACAGUCUUCACUGACGUCGGAGCGAUCAUCUGGCCCAAAAAGGGGACGGCGGUGUUCUGGUACAACCUGUAUCCCAGUGGAGAAGGAGACUAUCUGACCCGACACGCUGCCUGUCCGGUUCUGGUUGGAAACAAGUGGGUUUCCAAUAAAUGGAUCCAUGAACGAGGGCAGGAGUUCAGGAGACGCUGCGGCCUCCACGAGACCGACUGACUGUGUGUGUGUGUGUGUGUGUGUGUGUGUGUGUGUGUGUGUGUGUGUGUGUGUGUGUGUGUGUGUGUGUGUGUGUGUGUGUGUGUGUGUGUGUGUGUGUGUGUGUGUGUGUGUGUGUGUGUGUGUGUUCAGGGGACGGCGGUGUUCUGGUACAACCUGUAUCCCAGUGGAGAAGGAGACUAUCUGACCCGACACGCUGCCUGUCCGGUUCUGGUUGGAAACAAGUGGGUUUCCAAUAAAUGGAUCCAUGAACGAGGGCAGGAGUUCAGGAGACGCUGCGGCCUCCACGAGACCGACUGACUGUGUGUGUGUGUGUGUGUGUGUGUGUGUGUGUGUGUGUGUGUGUGUGUGUGUGUCAUUGCACGUUACUGCAGAAUUAAUUAGUUGAUUUUAAAACACAUUUCACGCUGUUUUAAAAUAUUACUUAUGAUUAGCUUGAGUUCGUAUAAAUGAUUUUAUUGUUAUUAUUUAUUACUUCUCACUUCUCUAAACGACGCCGCGUUCGGAACAUUGUAGACUAAGACUAAACUGAUUUUAAAGUGUUCAAUUUACAAGAACAAAACUUUGAUAUUUUCUGAGAAUAAAAUGGUAAAUGUACGAGAAAUAACUUAAAGUCGUACAUUUACGAGAAAAUAAUCGUGGUUUAUUUUGAAAGAACAACAUUCUUGAGGUUUUUUCUCGUGGAGUGUGUCUUUAGGGAUAUAUAUCGUAUUUUAUAAUCUAGAGAAUUCUUCUUGUAAAUUCACCAUUUUAAUCUCUGAGUAUUAACGGAUUUUAAAUAAGUAUCACAUAAUGCUAAAUAAUAAUAAUAAUAAUAAUAUUUAAAGAUAUCAAUAGAAUAACUUAUAAACAUAGAAUACAGUUCUGCACUUGGUGCUGGAGGAUUCAUCCUGAAAGAGAAAGUAACCGCAGCCUCCUCUGUUUCACAACACGCCCUCUGUUUCACAACACGCCCUCUGUUUCACAACACGACCUCUGUGUCACACCCAAUUUUAAAAUAAGGGAAAUUCUCUGGCGGACAUCAGCUUCUGUAAAAUCCAUAAAACUUCACUGCACAGAAUGAAAAUCUGACGAAUAAUCUUCAAGUCUUAAAUCUUUAAAGUAUAAAAAAGGGACAGUUCACAACUAUGAUGUGACACUUUUAAUGUAAUGUGUGCGAAAUAAAAGAUCUAAAUAAAGUAAUAAAGUAAUAAACAUAAAUAUAAUCAAGAGACAGCAUUAUAUUCUGCACAGAGUGAAAAUGCUAAACUUUAAGAUGUAAUUAUAAAUAUAUAAUAUAUCACAGUUCUGCACUUGGUGCUGGAGGAUUCAUCCUGAAAGAGAAAGUAACCGCAGCGAGAGGAGGCUGCGGGGAAGUCACCGCCUCACCCCGAUUAUUACGAAGAGCUGUUCUGAGGAACUGAGAGGAACCUUCCUGGAAACUGGGGGUUGUACGUUUGUGCCCGACCGCAGUGACCCGGAGGAGACGUUCACAGCGUUCGGUUGUUUGAGUUUUGAAUCCUGACUUGUGCCGAGUGGCGUUUCAGUGCCUGAUCCCUUGAGACUGCAGGAUGGCCGGGUCAAUGAAAACAACAGCAUGACUUCUUGGCCGCCGAUAUACCUCAGCGAUAUAACAUUAUGUUUAAUGUCUGACC